rnacentral:rRNA from 1 species
AUCAUGGCCCUUACGGCCAGGGCUACACACGUGCUACAAUGGUCGGUACAAAGGGUUGCUACACAGCGAUGUGAUGCUAAUCUCAAAAAGCCGAUCGUAGUCCGGAUUGGAGUCUGCAACUCGACUCCAUGAAGUCGGAAUCGCUAGUAAUCGCGGAUCAGAAUGCCGCGGUGAAUACGUUCCCGGGCCUUGUACACACCGCCCGUCACACCAUGGGAGUUUGUUGCACCAGAAGUAGCUAGCCUAACUGCAAAGAGGGCGGUUACCACGGUGUGGCCGAUGACUGGGGUGAAGUCGUAACAAGGUAGCCGUAGGGGAACCUGCGGCUGGAUCACCUCCUUAACGAA